GGGCCCGCACAAGCGGUGGAGCAUGUGGUUUAAUUCGAUGAUACGCGAGGAACCUUACCAGGGCUUAAAUGUAAGUUGCAUAGAUCAGAGAUGGUCUUUUCUUCGGACUACUUACAAGGUGCUGCAUGGUUGUCGUCAGCUCGUGCCGUGAGGUGUCAGGUUAAGUCCUAUAACGAGCGCAACCCCUGUCGUUAGUUGCCAGCAAGUUAAGUUGGGCACUCUAGCGAGACUGCCGGUGCAAACCGUGAGGAAGGUGGGGAUGACGUCAAAUCAUCACGGCCCUUACGUCCUGGGCUACACACGUGCUACAAUGGCCGGUACAGAGAGCAGCCACUACGCGAGUAGGAGCGAAUCUUCAAAGCCGGUCUCAGUUCGGAUCGCAGUCUGCAACUCGACUGCGUGAAGCUGGAAUCGCUAGUAAUCG
rnacentral:rRNA from 1 species